rnacentral:rRNA from 1 species
AGUACUCGAUUGGUGACAGCGGAGGGAUCAUUACCGAGUUUACAACUCCCAAACCCCUGUGAACAUACCACUUGUUGCCUCGGCGGAUCAGCCCGCUCCCGGUAAAACGGGACGGCCCGCCAGAGGACCCCUAAACUCUGUUUCUAUAUGUAACUUCUGAGUAAAACCAUAAAUAAAUCAAAACUUUCAACAACGGAUCUCUUGGUUCUGGCAUCGAUGAAGAACGCAGCAAAAUGCGAUAAGUAAUGUGAAUUGCAGAAUUCAGUGAAUCAUCGAAUCUUUGAACGCACAUUGCGCCCGCCAGUAUUCUGGCGGGCAUGCCUGUUCGAGCGUCAUUUCAACCCUCAAGCACAGCUUGGUGUUGGGACUCGCGUUAAUUCGCGUUCCCCAAAUUGAUUGGCGGUCACGUCGAGCUUCCAUAGCGUAGUAGUAAAACCCUCGUUACUGGUAAUCGUCGCGGCCACGCCGUUAAACCCCAACUUCUGAAUGUUGACCUCGGAUCAGGUAGGAAUACCCGCUGAACUUAAGCAUAUCAUAGGCGCGGGGGGGAAA